rnacentral:lncRNA from 1 species
AUGUUAGGCUUGAGCAUAGUCAUCAAAACCAGCCUGGUCUUCAGUCCCUGGGAGAGACCACUUGGGUUACAUGUUGGCUGCUUUGCCUUUCAACAAGCAUUCGGAGGGGUGAGGAAGAGGAGGGAAGGCAGAGGGAGUGAAGGCUGCCACUGUACCAGAAGGGUGGGAGAGAAUCAAAUUCUUGCGGGUACUUCUUUGCACACAAAUUUAGUUCCUGAUAAGGAGAAUAGCAAACAUGACCUUGAAUUCCCUAUAAGGUGUUUUCUGACUGCUGUUUAGCUUAGGAGAUUGAUUUUCUCAUAUUAUUUCAUAUACCACUAUGAUCUCAUUUCUCCUGCUGCUACUAUUGGGGCUUCAAGCAGGAGCACUCAGCAGAGCAGUCUCCUAUUGACUAACCUCUCAAAACAUCCCAGGCCAGUUUAGGGUUUGUGAGUUGCUCACGGGGGUGAUGUUCUCCAGGGUGUGUUGUACCUGUGCACAGUACCUACUUCUCCUCACUUCCCUCCACCUCAGAAUGACUUGGGAAAUUUUGAGAUUCUGGGGUUCAGGUGGAGUUUUGCAAGUCACGGUCAACCUGUUUACGUCUCUGUGUGCAGCCACAGCAGAGCACAGUCAUGUUUGGUCCUGAUAAGAUACAAACCUUGAGCUCUGAGUGCUCAUUUGCACGGCUUCCCGCCAUGUGAGAGCAAGUUACUGUCUAGGAAGAUGCAAAUGCCUUGUACGUUAUGACAAGUGCUGUAAAUCAGAAAUUGUGGUCAUGAUCUCACACGAAGUCCCUCUAAGAAAGAACAAAAUACCAAUGUUGUAGAUAAGUGCUUAUGAAUCACUGCCUGGUAAAAAGUGACACCACCUGUCACAUUUCACGUACGGGCUCAGAAAAUGGGGAGAACGUACUGAACUGAGGGAGCUAAUGACUGUGUCGUACAGUGGUUAUUAUAUGACAUCAGGAGAUACAAUAUACUGCACGUGCCUUUCAGGCUGAGAAAUGUAGCUGAAACUGCACAGUUGAGAGUGCUGGGAGAAGAAAUCUUGAAAUGAUAGUUUAAGUAACAAAAACAUGCAAUUUUUUGCAUGCAGAGAGCAGAACACAGAUAUUUUUCUCUGUGAACUUAAUAAAUACAUGCAGAAAUUGCA